UGCGAAGGGGGCUAGCGUUGCUCGGAAUCACUGGGCGUAAAGGGUGCGUAGGCGGGUCUUUAAGUCAGGGGUGAAAUCCUGGAGCUCAACUCCAGAACUGCCUUUGAUACUGAGGAUCUUGAGUUCGGGAGAGGUGAGUGGAACUGCGAGUGUAGAGGUGAAAUUCGUAGAUAUUCGCAAGAACACCAGUGGCGAAGGCGGCUCACUGGCCCGAUACUGACGCUGAGGUGCGAAAGCGUGGGGAGCAAACAGGG
rnacentral:rRNA from 1 species